GAUUUUCGACAACGAAUAUUUUCGCUAUGGCAUGGAUUAAGAAAGUAUUUAAAUGAGAUACUUGGUCUGAAUUGCAGAAUCCCGGGAACCAUAGAGUUUUUGAACGCAAGUUGCGCCCGAAACCAUCCGACCGGGGGCACGUUUGCCUGGGCGUU
rnacentral:rRNA from 1 species